AGUGAACGCUGGCGGUAGGCCUAACACAUGCAAGUCGAACGGCAGCACAGUAAGAGCUUGCUCUUACGGGUGGCGAGUGGCGGACGGGUGAGGAAUACAUCGGAAUCUACUUUUUCGUGGGGGAUAACGUAGGGAAACUUGCGCUACUACCGCAUACGACCUACGGGUGAAAGCAGGAGAUCUUCGGACCUUGCGCGAUUGAAUGAGCCGAUGUCGGAUUAGCUAGUUGGCUGGGUAAAGGCCCACCAAGGCGACGAUCCGUAGCUGGUCUGAGAGGAUGAUCAGCCACACUGGAACUGAGACACGGUCCAGACUCCUACGGGAGGCAGCAGUGGGGAAUAUUGGACAAUGGGCGCAAGCCUGAUCCAGCCAUACCGCGUGGGUGAAGAAGGCCUUCGGGUUGUAAAGCCCUUUUGUUGGGAAAGAAAAGCAGCAGGUUAAUACCCCGCUGUUCUGACGGUACCCAAAGAAUAAGCACCGGCUAACUUCGUG
rnacentral:rRNA from 1 species